rnacentral:misc_RNA from 1 species
AAGUCGUAACAAGGUUUCCGUAGGUGAACCUGCGGAAGGAUCAUUAAAGAGAUAGGGUCGUUCAUUCGACCGAUCGUCCCCAAGACCCCUUCCAAUCCCGUUUGUUCAUUGAAUUGCUUUAAUCCAAUUGCUUUGCAUUUCCGGUUCGGGGUUGCAUUUGGCCCGGGGAUCCCGUUCCUCGGGGUUCCUUCCCCGGAAGGCCGGCCACUAAACCCCUUCGGGGUUUGGGUGAGCGCCCCGCCCAGAGUCCCGACCCAAAACUCUUGUAUUUAAACCAGUCGUCUGAGUAUAAAAUUUUAAUUAAAUUAAAA